GGUUAAGCGACUAAGCGUACACGGUGGAUGCCCUGGCAGUCAGAGGCGAUGAAGGACGUGCUAAUCUGCGAUAAGCGUCGGUGAGGUGAUAUGAACCGUUAUAACCGGCGAUUUCCGAAUGGGGAAACCCAGUGUGUUUCGACACACUAUCAUUAACUGAAUCCAUAGGUUAAUGAGGCGAACCGGGGGAACUGAAACAUCUAAGUACCCCGAGGAAAAGAAAUCAACCGAGAUUCCCCCAGUAGCGGCGAGCGAACGGGGAGGAGCCCAGAGUCUGAAUCAGUGUGUGUGUUAGUGGAAGCGUCUGGAAAGGCG
rnacentral:rRNA from 1 species